AGCACCCAGCUGAACCCCCUCGAGGCCUUGACCAAAGCUUUCAAACAGACCACAGAGGAAGGCAAGAUGAGCGGCCGCGCCAUGAAAUACCCCUACACCCUUUCGGCCAAGUUGGCGCAGUUCCCAUUCUCGUACUACGUCAAGAACCAGUGGGUGUUCAAGUACUACCUCAUUGGUGUCGCCGUCUCCAUUCCCGUGUUCAGCUGGUUCCAGAAGCAAGCUUGCUCGCCUGCCAACAAGGCAAAGUGGGAAGCGAAGGGAAAGGAAGAGCACUAAACGGGAGAUGGAAGAGAAUUAACGCUAAACACCGAGAGAGACGGAAGAGAGAAGAAGAGGGAAUAAGGGAGAAUAAGAGAAGAAAGAAGAAGAGGAGAGGAGAGAGAUGAUGAUGAAAAGGAAAGAGACGGAAGAGAGAAGAAGAG